AACGAACGCUGGCGGCAGGCUUAACACAUGCAAGUCGAGCGCCCCGCAAGGGGAGCGGCAGACGGGUGAGUAACGCGUGGGAAUCUACCCAUCUCUACGGAAUAACGCAUGGAAACGUGUGCUAAUACCGUAUACGUCCUUCGGGAGAAAGAUUUAUCGGAGAUGGAUGAGCCCGCGUUGGAUUAGCUAGUUGGUGGGGUAAAGGCCUACCAAGGCGACGAUCCAUAGCUGGUCUGAGAGGAUGAUCAGCCACACUGGGACUGAGACACGGCCAAGACUCCUACGGGAGGCAGCAGUGGGGAAUAUUGGACAAUGGGCGCAAGCCUGAUCCAGCCAUGCCGCAUGAGUGAUGAAGGCCCUAGGGUUGUAAAGCUCUUUCACCGGUGAAGAUAAUGACGGUAACCGGAGAAGAAGUCCCGGCUAACUUCGUGCCAGCCGCCGCCGUAAUAC
rnacentral:rRNA from 1 species